rnacentral:rRNA from 1 species
UUCUCGCUGACGAGCGGCGGACGGGUGAGUAAUACUUAGGAAUCUACCUAGUAGUGGGGGAUAGCUCGGGGAAACUCGAAUUAAUACCGCAUACGACCUACGGGAGAAAGGGGGCAACUUGUUGCUCUCGCUAUUAGAUGAGCCUAAGUCGGAUUAGCUAGAUGGUGGGGUAAAGGCCUACCAUGGCGACGAUCUGUAGCUGGUCUGAGAGGAUGAUCAGCCACACCGGGACUGAGACACGGCCCGGACUCCUACGGGAGGCAGCAGUGGGGAAUAUUGGACAAUGGGGGCAACCCUGAUCCAGCCAUGCCGCGUGUGUGAAGAAGGCCUUUUGGUUGUAAAGCACUUUAAGCAGUGAAGAAGACUCCAUGGUUAAUACCCAUGGACGAUGACAUUAGCUGCAGAAUAAGCACCGGCUAACUCUGUGCCAGCAGCCGCGGUAAUACAGAGGGUGCAAGCGUUAAUCGGAAUUACUGGGCGUAAAGCGAGCGUAGGUGGCUUGAUAAGUCAGAUGUGAAAGCCCCGGGCUUAACCUGGGAACGGCAUCUGAUACU